rnacentral:rRNA from 1 species
UACGUAGGGGGCAAGCGUUGUCCGGAUUUACUGGGCGUAAAGAGCGUGUAGGCGGCCACGCAGGUCCGUUGUGAAAACUGGAGGCUCAACCUCCAGCUGUCGACGGAAACCGUAUGGCUAGAGUCCGGAAGAGGAGAGUGGAAUUCCUGGUGUAGCGGUGAAAUGCGCAGAUAUCAGGAAGAACACCAAUGGCGAAGGCAGCUCUCUGGGACGGUACUGACGCUGAGACGCGAAAGCGUGGGAGCAAACAGG